AUUGAACGCUGGCGGCAGGCCUAACACAUGCAAGUCGAGCGCGCGGCGGACGGGUGAGUAAUGUCUGGGAAACUGCCUGAUGGCGGGGGAUAAGUACUGGAAACGGUAGCUAAUACCGCAUACAAUCAGAUUUGCCCAGAUGGGAUUAGCUAGUAGGUGGGGUAACGGCUCACCUAGGCGACGAUCCCUAGCUGGUCUGAGAGGCUGAACAGCCACACGGGAACUGAGACACUGUCCAGACUCCUACGGUAGGCAGCAGUGGUGAAUAUUGCACAAUGGGCGCAAGUCUGCUGCAGCCAUGCCGCGUGUGUGAAGAAGGCCUUCGGGUUGUAAAGCACUUUCAGCGGGGAGGCGUUACCCGCAGAAGAAGCACCGGCUAACUCCGUGCCAGCAGCCGCGGUAAUAC
rnacentral:rRNA from 1 species